GCAAACUUGGUCAUUUAGAGGAAGUAAAAGUCGUAACAAGGUUUCCGUAGGUGAACCUGCGGAAGGAUCAUUAUUGAGUGAAGGGCUUCCAUCUGUGGAACCCGAUCUUCCCAACCCUUGCGUUCUUUUACCGAUUUGCUUUGGUGGACCCGUCACUGCGGUGACCGCCGAAGGGUGCGAGCUGAUAGAACUCGCCCUUGGGCCCGUGCCCGCCAGAGAUAUAUCUGAAUGCUGAUUAUAGAAAUUGUUUCUGAGUGAUGAAAGAAAUAAAAAAACUUUCAACAACGGAUCUCUUGGUUCCGGCAUCGAUGAAGAACGCAGC
rnacentral:misc_RNA from 1 species